rnacentral:rRNA from 1 species
GAUGAACGCUAGCGGGAGGCUUAAUACAUGCAAGUCGAGGGAGAAAUUGUUUUUCGGAAUAAUGGAAACCGGCGCACGGGUGAGUAACGCGUACACUACCUGCCUUAUACUGGGGCAUAGCCUUUGGAAACGAAGAGUAAUACCCCAUAGUCCCGCAAGGGUAAAGUUCCGACGGUAUAAGAUGGGUGUGCGUCUGAUUAGCUAGUUGGUGAGGUAACGGCUCACAAAGGCGACGAUCAGUAGGGGGCGUGAGAGCGUGAUCCCCCACACGGGUACUGAGACACGGACCCGACUCCUACGGGAGGCAGCAGUAAGGAAUAUUGGACAAUGGACGAAAGUCUGAUCCAGCCAUCCCGCGUGAAGGAUGACUGCCCUAUGGGUUGUAAACUUCUUUUGUUUGGGAAGAAACGCUUUGAUUUAUCAGAGCCUGACGGUACCUUACGAAUAAGCACCGGCUAACUCCG